UGAAGGAGGAGUUGAUGGCAAUGUGGAUGGAGGGGGAACAUCAGAAGAAGGAGGCUUAGGAGGAGAUUGAGAAACUGGUGGAGGGGGUGCAUGUGAAGGAGUAGUUUUUGGAGGACUUUCUUUCUGUGGAGGAGUACCGGUGGAUGGUGGCCUUGGAACAUUUGCUGGAGGAGGAGGAGAUUGUGAAAUUGGUUGAGAAGGAGGGGAAAUUGUAGCGGGAGGAGAUUGGGGAGGGGGGGGAACAGUUGGUGAAGCUGGUGGAGACGAAACUGGAGGGGAAGGUGGAAGCUCAGCUGGAGGAGGAGCAGUGGUGGUGGCUGGUGGUGGGGGGGAAGAUGUUACAACUGGUGGCGUUGGAGAUGCUGGUGGUAAUGGUGG
rnacentral:lncRNA from 1 species